AGCAGCCGCGGUAAUUCCAGCUCCAAUAGCGUAUAUUAAAGUUGUUGCAGUUAAAAAUGCUCGUAGUUGAAUUUCGAGAUCAAUUCGUCGGUCGUGCUUUUUUGGGUACGUACUGGUGUUUAUUGGUUUCUCCCUUCUGACGAACCAUGAUGUCAUUAAUUUGGUGUUAUGGGGAGUUAGGACUGUUACUUUGAAAAAAGUUAGAGUGUUUAAAGCAGGCAUUAGCUUGAAUACAUUAGCAUGGAAUAAUGAAAUAGGACGUUUGACCCUAUUUUGUUGGUUUCUAGGAUCGACGUAAUGAUUAAUAGGGAUAGUUGGGGGCAUUAGUAUUCAAUUGUCAGAGGUGAAAUUCUUGGAUUUAUUGAA
rnacentral:misc_RNA from 1 species